GGUUGCGCUUUUUCUUUGUGUUAGAAAUGUAAAAUUUUAGCAGUUAUUGUAUAAUAGUUGGGUCUCAACUGAUUGAAUACAUAAAGAUUGACACCAUUGCCAAUUUUUAGUCAUUAAAAUGACCUUUAUAUGCCUUAAGAGUAUGAUUUUUCAUUUGAGAAAAUGGUUAUGCUGUGUUUAUUUUACUUCAUUUCUAUCUUUUAAUGAGAAAGAAGGGGCCCUUGUUUUCAAUGUUGAGUGUUGAAAUAUAAGUCCAAUUAGCAUGGUUUUAAGUCUUAUGCUGUGGUUAGUCUGGUUUUUGGAAGUUGUUUCUGG
rnacentral:lncRNA from 1 species